UACGUAGGGGCAAGCGUUGUCCGGAUUUAUUGGGCGUAAAGAGCGUGUAGGCGGCCAUACAGGUCCGUUGUGAAAACUGGAGGCUUAACCUCCAGACGUCGAUGGAAACCGUAUGGCUAGAGUCCGGAAGAGGAGAGUGGAAUUCCUGGUGUAGCGGUGAAAUGCGCAGAUAUCAGGAAGAACACCAAUGGCGAAGGCAGCUCGCUGGGACGGUACUGACGCUGAGACGCGAAAGCGUGGGGAGCAAACAGG
rnacentral:rRNA from 1 species